rnacentral:rRNA from 1 species
CGGCAAAAGCUCAAAUUUGAAAUUCUGGCACUCUUCAGUUGCUCCGUGUUGUAAUUUGAAGAAGGUAUCUUUGGGUCUGGCUCUUGUCUAUGUUUCUUGGAACAGAACGUCACAGAGGGUGAGAAUCCCGUGCGAUGAGAUGUCCCAGACCUAUGUAAAGUUCCUUCGAAGAGUCGAGUUGUUUGGGAAUGCAGCUCUAAGUGGGUGGUAAAUUCCAUCUAAAGCUAAAUAUUGGCGAGAGACCGAUAGCGAACAAGUACAGUGAUGGAAAGAUGAAAAGAACUUUGAAAAGAGAGUGAAAAAGUACGUGAAAUUGUUGAAAGGGAAGGGCUUGAGAUCAGACUUGGUAUUUUGUAUGUUACUCUCUCGGGGGUGGCCUCUACAGUUUACCGGGCCAGCAUCAGUUUGGGCGGUAGGACAAUUGCAAAGAAAUGUGGCACUGCCUCGGUAGUGUGUUAUAGUCUUUGUCGAUACUGCCAGCCUAGACUGAGGACUGCGGCUUCGGCCUAGGAUGUUGGCAUAAUGAUCUUAAGUCGCCCGUCUUGAAACACGGACCAAGGAGUCUAACGUCUAUGCGAGUGUUUGGGUGUAAAACCCGUACGCGUAAUGAAAGUGAACGUAGGUAGGACCUCCUUUAGGAGUGCACUAUCGACCGAUCCUGAUGUCUUCGGAUGGAUUUGAGUAAGAGCAUAGCUGUUGGGACCCGAAAGAUGGUGAACUAUGCCUGAAUAGGGUGAAGCCAGAGGAAACUCU